UACGUAGGGCGCAAGCGUUGUCCGGAAUUAUUGGGCGUAAAGAGCUCGUAGGCGGCCUGUUGCGUCCGCUGUGAAAUCCCGGGGCUCAACCCCGGGCCUGCAGUGGAUACGGGGCUGGCUGGAGGCAGGCAGGGGGAGAACGGAAUCCUGGUGGUAGCGGUGAAAUGCGCAGAUAUCAGGAGGAACACCGGUGGCGAAGGCGGGUCUCACUGG
rnacentral:rRNA from 1 species